rnacentral:rRNA from 1 species
UGCGUAGGUGGCCUUUUAAGUUGGAUGUGAAAUACCCGGGCUUAACUUGGGGGGUGCAUCUAAUACUGGAAGGCUAGAGUGCAGGAGAGGAAAGCGGAAUUCCUAGUGUAGCGGUGAAAUGCGUAGAUAUUAGGAGGAACACCAGUGGCGAAGGCGGCUUUCUGGACUGUAACUGACACUGAGGCACGAAAGCGUGGGGAGCAAACA